rnacentral:misc_RNA from 1 species
UAAUAAGUGCUUUAUGGCACUUUUUAAAUCCAUAUCCACCUUGUGUGCAAUGUCAGUCGAUCUUCUUCAUGGAGAUUGACCAAACAUCAACCUUUAUCUUUUAACAUCUUUGUCUGAAAAAUAUUAUGAAUAAACAAUUCAAAAUA